GAAACAGAUGCGGUGCUCAGGGUCAGCUUGGGAAAUUUUCUGUUUUUCACUAUCCUUUCAUUUUUAAUGAUUGAUGUGAAAAAUCAGAAAGAUCCUCGUGAUGGAUUACACCAUGGUGGAUGGAUGAUGAAAAUUAUCUGCUGGUUCAUUUUAGUUAUUUUGAUGUUUUUUGUUCCUAAUGAGAUUAUCAGCUUUUAUGAGAUGAUUUCAAAGUUCGGCUAAGGACUGUUUCUUUUGGUUCAAGUUGUUCUUCUACUUGACUUCGUUCAUGGAUGGAAUGACAAAUGGG